rnacentral:rRNA from 1 species
GAUGAACGCUGGCGGCGUGCCUAAUACAUGCCAGUCGAGCGAACAGACGAGGAGCUUGCUCCUCUGACGUUAGCGGCGGACGGAUGAGUAACACGUGGAUAACCUACCUAUAAGACUGGGAUAACUUCGGGAAACCGGAGCUAAUACCGGAUAAUAUAUUGAACCGCAUGGUUCAAUAGUGAAAGACGGUUUUGCUGUCACUUAUAGAUGGAUCCGCGCCGCAUUAGCUAGUUGGUAAGGUAACGGCUUACCAAGGCAACGAUGCGUAGCCGACCUGAGAGGGUGAUCGGCCACACUGGAACUGAGACACGGUCCAGACUCCUACGGGAGGCAGCAGUAGGGAAUCUUCCGCAAUGGGCGAAAGCCUGACGGAGCAACGCCGCGUGAGUGAUGAAGGUCUUCGGAUCGUAAAACUCUGUUAUUAGGGAAGAACAAAUGUGUAAGUAACUAUGCACGUCUUGACGGUACCUAAUCAGAAAGCCACGGCUAACUACGUG